rnacentral:rRNA from 1 species
AGCUCCAAUAGCGUAUAUUAAAGUUGUUGCAGUUAAAAAGCUCGUAGUCGAACUUUGGUUUAAACGAUAAAGGUCACCUAUUGGGUUGUACUUUUAGGUUUAAACUUUCCUUCUGGUGAACUAGAGUGUCAUUCACUUGAUGCUUUAGGAACCCAGGACUUUUACUUUGAAAAAAUUAGAGUGUUUAAAGCAAGCAAUCGCUUGAAUACAUUAGCAUGGAAUAAUAAAAUAGGACUUUGGUUUUAUUUUGUUGGUUUCUAAGACCAAGGUAAUGAUUAACAGAAACGGUUGGGGAUGUCUGUACUUAGCCGUCAGAGGUGAAAUUCUUGGAUUGGCUAAAGACAAACUUCUGCGAAAGCAUUCAUCAAGGACGUUUUCA